UUUAAUAUCAUAUCAUCAAAAAAAUAUUGUGAUGAUUGGGUUUUGGCUAUUUGUAGUGCCCCAAGAAGACUUAACGGUUAUGCCGCAGAGCACUGCGGAAGUGCAUUUUAACUAGGAAGUUCACGCCUCCUUCUAAAGAGUUGGAAGGGACUGUAGCAACAAAUCACGUAGAUAAGAUUACAUUGAUUUAUAUUUCUUGAAGAUACGCUCGUUAUUUAUAAUUAAAAACAUGGAUCGCGCCAAGUGCUCAACGUAAGUGCCGUAAGAGCCGUAAGAGAGCGACAGUCAUUUCGAACUCCGCUAUAUAUACAAUAAGAAGAAACCUACUGGCUGCUGUGUUAGCGGAUCAACAUUUGCAAUCAACAAGUAAAUGUAUGUUUAUUACCAGAGGAGCUUAGAGGAUUUUCAAACAAAUUUUGCAUAUUGUGUACUUCUUGUAAUUGUAAAUAAAGUUUUCAUUACCUGAACAUAGAUAAAAGAAAGCAUGAUAUAAAUUAUAGCGUUGUAAUUCCAUUCCGAGAAAUUAGUAAGGGACAUAAAGCUAUGUAAGUAUUUACAACUACGAUAAACAUGCCACCAUCAAUGACUAGUAAUUCAUACCCAGUUUGCAUCAAACCAAAAAAAGACGUCUUUAGAACGUUCAAUAGACGUCCAAAACGUUCAAAAGACGUCUAAAACGUGUAUAAGACGGUUAAAAGACGUCUUUUUUACGUCCGUGUCCACUGGGUAUGAUGUAAUAAAUGUAAAUCUUAACAAGGCUUAUACAUAAAUUGCAAUUUCUAGUAUGAAAAAUGCUGCUAAAAAGAUACAUACCCAAUUUUCCAAUAAAAUCAAUUUUUGACUGACUACCAAAUUAGCAUAGAUGGUACAUGGCUAAAGAGAGGACACAGCUCUCUUAAUUGAGAUGUUUCCGGAAUCUCAAGAUUUAAUAAAAAGGUUUUGAACUAUCAUGUUAAAUCUAAAUUUUUUAAAAGCUGUACCGUGUGGGAAACCAAAAAAGGUUCAAUAAAGUUUGAAAUUUGGAAAACCAGCCGUGUUUGCCAACACAAUCAUCAUAAAUCUUCUGGUGCGAUGGAGGCUAGUGGAUCAGUUGUCAUACUUUGUUCGUCAGCACAAAAAUAUAAUUUGAGAUUUGAGAACGCAUUAAAUUGAUGAUGGUUAUAUUAAUUCAUUUUUGAAAGUUUUGGAGGCCAAACCUAUUAGGGAAGCAUUGAUUCCAAUUAAGUUUGAAUGUGUGGGCCAUUUUCAGAAAAAUUAGAUAACAAUAAACCAAUUUGUAGAAGAGGAUGAUUAACUGAUAAAACAAUAAACAAAAUGCAAAAUUACUAUGGAAUUGCUAUUCGACAAAGAAUUGGCUCAUUAUAUGCUAUGAAAAAAUCAGUGCUAGCUAUUUUGUAGCAUUGCAGCAACAUUCCUAACACUGUUGAAAGGCACCAAUUUUGUCCCCGCAGUUUAUGUAGUGGGAGAGGGAUCUAAAUACUUGUCAAAAACAUAUAAGCCCUGUACUAGUUUGCCUCUUAUUAUAAAAAGGAUAGUGCAACCAAUUUUUAUUGAUUUUAGUGCAGACUAUUUGUUGUUGAAAUACUACAGCCCAAAAUCCUAACGAAACUUUUAACCAAAUUAUAUGGAAAAAAUAUCCAAAGAACAAUUUUGUUUCAAGACAAACAAUAGAAAAUUGUGUAGCAUCAGCUGUUUUAAAAUACAAUGAUGGAUUAUUAGGAUAUGAAAAUUUAUUUAAAUGUCUGAAUAUUUUGUUUGGAAAAGAUAGCGUUAAGGAGCUCACGAUAUGAACCAUUCAAAAAAAAAUGAACAAAAAAAGUAAGGUACCUCAAAUUAGUCAGAAGAAAAAAUUGAGAACUUUAAAAAAAUUUACAAGCUUUCAUAACCAACGAAAAAGAAACUGAUGAUUCAGAGUCAUAUUCUGCAGGAAAUUAUUAAAUACUAAAUUUCUUUUGCAUUUUUCUUCAUUUUUUAUUUUUUCGAAUAUAGAAAUCUUAGAAAAAAUAUAAAUAUAUAUUACGUAUUUUGAAUUUUAAUUUAGUAUGUCUAAAUCAAAAGAGUUUGUCUCAAUCGCUCUGAUGAGAGAGGUACUAAAUAUUCAAAAAGAAACAGUUUUAUCUUUUUUUCGCGAAUCGCUAUUGAACAUAAAUAAAAAGUUUGUUAAUUUUCAAUCAAGUUUUAAAGACAACGAGUCUUGUAAUGAAAUGAAAGCUUAAACUUUAUUGGCGAUGUUAUUAAUGAUAAAGCUAAAGCAGUUGAAGAAAAAAUUAAUAAAGUUCACGAUGAUUUAACAAAUGUACGAAGAAUGCAGGGUAAAAUAUCUUGUGACAAUAUCGAAUUAAAAUUAAAAAGUGUGGCUAUUGAAGACCGUAACAGAAGAAACAAUUUAAGAAUUGACGGUAUUGUAGAAAAUAACGAAGUAAAGGAUUGGCAAAUUACAAAAAAAAAAAAAGGUAAAACAACUAUUUAAAGAUAACCUUGGUAUUGAAAAAGAUAUUAUUAUUGAACGGGCUCAUUGAAUGGGAAUAGCUAAGGAAAAACAAGAGCGAACAAUAGUCUUAAAGCUCCGUGAUUACGAUGACAAAAAACAAUCAUGGAAAGAACAAUAAAGUUAAAAAGAACCAACAUUUUUCUAAACAAAGAUUUUAGUUUCACUACGCGAAAAAUGGUUAUUACGCAAAAGUUGUUUUCAACAAACUUAUUGUUCAUGAAUUUCGAGAACCCGCUACACAGAUGUUAAUUCGACAAGCGUAAACGAGUAUUUUUUUUUUUUUUUUGAAUAUUUUUUUUUAUUAUUAUAUUAAAUAUUUUUAAAUUAUUAAUUAAAAAUUUAAAAAAAUAGCGCCUUUUGCAAAAUUUUGAUAAACUUAAAUAAUUUUAAAAUAUUUUAAACACGUUCGAUGUCAUAUCUCUUUCAGAAACCCAUGAUACAGAAAGUUCUCUUGAAUUAAAUUCUAAUUAUAUUUUACCAUUUUACAAACUAAUUAGUCAACGACGAGAAAGUGGGGAAAAAAGGAGGAGGUUUAGGAAUUUAUGUCUUAGACAAGUAUGUAUUUAAAAUAAAAACAUGAUAUGUUUUUCAAAUAAAAAUUAUGAAAGUCUCUUGAAA